rnacentral:rRNA from 1 species
UACGGGGGGGGCAAGCGUUGUUCGGAAUUACUGGGCGUAAAGGGCUCGUAGGCGGCCAACUAAGUCAGACGUGAAAUCCCCAGGCUUAACCUGGGAACUGCAUCCGAUACUGGAUGGCUUGAAUCCGGGAGAGGGAUGCAGAAUUCCAGGUGUAGCGGUGAAGUGCGUAGAUAUCUGGAGGAAUACCGGUGGCGAAGGCGGCAUCCUGGACCGGCAUUGACGCUGAGUGAGCGAAAGCCAGGGGAGCAAACGGG